UACGUAGGGUGCGAGCGUUAAUCGGAAUUACUGGGCGUAAAGCGUGCGCAGGCGGUUCGUUAUGUCCGAUGUGAAAGCCCCGAGCUCAACUUGGGAAUGGCAUUGGAAACUGGCGGGCUGGAGUGUGGCAGAGGGAGGUGGAAUUCCACGUGUAGCAGUGAAAUGCGUAGAGAUGUGGAGGAACACCGAUGGCGAAGGCAGCCCCCUGGGCCAACACUGACGCUCAGGCACGAAAGCGUGGGGAGCAAACAGG
rnacentral:rRNA from 1 species